GACGAACGCUGGCGGCGUGCUUAACACAUGCAAGUCGAACGGAAAGGCCUUUUCGGAGGUACUCGAGUGGCGAACGGGUGAGUAACACGUGGGUGAUCUGCCCUGCACUCUGGGAUAAGCCUGGGAAACUGGGUCUAAUACCGGAUAGGACCGCACUUUAGUGUGUGUGGUGGAAAGUUUUUUCGGUGUAGGAUGAGCCCGCGGCCUAUCAGCUUGUUGGUGGGGCAAUGGCCUACCAAGGCGGCGACGGGUAGCCGGACUGAGAGGUUGGUCGGCCACAUUGGGACUGAGAUACGGCCCAGACUCCUACGGGAGGCAGCAGUGGGGAAUAUUGCACAAUGGGCGCAAGCCUGAUGCAGCGACGCCGCGUGGGGGAUGACGGCCUUCGGGUUGUAAACGCCUUUCGCCAGGGACGAAGCGUUUUGUGACGGUACCUGGAGAAGAAGCACCGGCUAACUACGUG
rnacentral:rRNA from 1 species